AAAAAAAAAAAAAAAAAAUUGUUCUCACUGAUAGGGUUUCUUUCUCCCAUCUUUCUUCUCUUAGUUUUAGUAGAGUUCCACGUCUAUGUGGGCCUUCCUCUUCCCCUCUGGGCAGGGGAACGCCCUCUCUUGACUCAGAGCAUGGGUAGUCCCUCCCCGCUUCCAAGUUCGGGUGUUAAUACCUCUUUUGGCUUGUGGUCUGUUACAUCUACUGUGUUUCAUGGUAAGGGCCUCCUUUGUAGAUUUUUAUCAUAGUUUUUGUUCUAGGUUAAUAUGGCUGAAGCAUAGAGGCGAAGGCCUUUGCUGUGUCCAGGAUGGUAGUUGGAUAAGGUUUAAUCAGGCUGAAGGUAGUAGGUCUCGAUGUUGUCCAGCGCCCCCUUUCGAAGAUCAGUUUCGGCGUCCUCGAUUGGGUGGCUCAGUGCAGGUAGCUUGGUCUUGAGAUGGGCACUUUAUCUUCUUAGGCAGUAGACGAGGUAACAACCUAGCUACUAGAUUGCUCUCUCUAGGUCUUGAGCUCUCUAUAUUUAAUCCUUUGUGCUUUGACUUAGGCUUCGUAGUUUUGGCUCUGUCCAUGUUGUUUUAAAGGUGUCAAUAGUCAUGGGUUGUGCUUUUGGGGUGCUCCCUCUUAUCUGUUGGCGGUGCUUUGUGAUGGAGCUCAGGUGGAGGUUUUCGAGAGAUUUCCUCUGGUCCACCGGUGGACCUUUGGGUUCAUCUUUUGGGCUUUAAUUGUUAUUAUUUUUCAUUGUAUCGUGUUUGUUUGGACUUGUGCUCUUUCGGUACUUCCUUUAAAUUAAUGCAAUCCUAAGGCUAAAGGAGCAGUUCACAUCCACUUUCUUUGGUCAAGCUAACAACUUUACCUGUUGGGUCUUAUAGCACACUCUUUAAGUGCCACCAAUGCCUCUUGCUCUCGUAAUGUUCUUCUCUAGCAAGGAGUUCCAUUGAUGUUCUAGCUUUAAGUGAGAUUUUUUUUUUUUUUUUUU
rnacentral:misc_RNA from 1 species